rnacentral:tRNA from 1 species
GAAGCUGUGGUUCAGUGAUAGAACAUCUGUUCAACAUUCAGAAGGUCCCAGGUUCAAUCACCAUCAUCUUUA